rnacentral:pre_miRNA from 1 species
GGUGUGGAAUCCUGCAGCAUCCUCGAGAGGACCUUCCACUCCAUCAUGAAGUGUGAUGGGGACAUUCGCAAGCACCUGUGUGCC